UGCUUAACACAUGCAAGUCGAACGCUGAAGCUCAGCUUUUGUUGGGUGGAUGAGUGGCGAACGGGUGAGUAACACGUGAGUAACCUGCCCUCUUCUUUGGGAUAACGCCCGGAAACGGGUGCUAAUACUGGAUAUUCACUGAUCUUCGCAUGGGGGUUGGUGGAAAGGUUUUUUCUGGUGGGGGAUGGGCUCGCGGCCUAUCAGCUUGUUGGUGGGGUGAUGGCCUACCAAGGCUUUGACGGGUAGCCGGCCUGAGAGGGUGACCGGUCACAUUGGGACUGAGAUACGGCCCAGACUCCUACGGGAGGCAGCAGUGGGGAAUAUUGCACAAUGGGCGCAAGCCUGAUGCAGCGACGCCGCGUGAGGGAUGACGGCCUUCGGGUUGUAAACCUCUGUUAGCAGGGAAGAAGAGAGAUUGACGGUACCUGCAGAGAAAGCGCCGGCUAACUACGUGCCAGCAGCCGCGGUAAUACGUAGGGCGCGAGCGUUGUCCGGAAUUAUUGGGCGUAAAGAGCUUGUAGGCGGUUGGUCGCGUCUGCUGUGAAAGGCCGGGGCUUAACUCCGGUUUUGCAGUGGGUACGGGCUAACUAGAGUGCAGUAGGGGAGACUGGAAUUCCUGGUGUAGCGGUGGAAUGCGCAGAUAUCAGGAGGAACACCGAUGGCGAAGGCAGGUCUCUGGGCUGUAACUGACGCUGAGAAGCGAAAGCAUGGGGAGCGAACAGGAUUAGAUACCCUGGUAGUCCAUGCCGUAAACGUUGGGCACUAGGUGUGGGGGACAUUCCACGUUUUCCGCGCCGUAGCUAACGCAUUAAGUGCCCCGCCUGGGGAGUACGGCCGCAAGGCUAAAACUCAAAGAAAUUGACGGGGGCCCGCACAAGCGGCGGAGCAUGCGGAUUAAUUCGAUGCAAC
rnacentral:rRNA from 1 species